AUGAACGCUAGCGGCGUGCCUAAUACAUGCAAGUCGAGCGAACAGACGAGGAGCUUGCUCCUCUGACGUUAGCGGCGGGCGGGUGAGUAACACGUGGAUAACCUACCUAUAAGACUGGGAUAACUUCGGGAAACCGGAGCUAAUACCGGACAAUAUAUUGAACCGCAUGGUUCCAUAGUGAAAGACGGCUUUGCUGUCACUUAUAGAUGGAUCCGCGCCGCAUUAGCUAGUUGGUAAGGUAACGGCUUACCAAGGCAACGAUGCGUAGCCGACCUGAGAGGGUGAUCGGCCACACUGGAACUGAGACACGGUACAGACUCCUACGGGAGGCAGCAGUAGGGAAUCUUCCGCAAUGGGCGAAAGCCUGACGGAGCAACGCCGCGUGAGUGAUGAAGGUCUUCGGAUCGUAAAACUCUGUUAUUAGGGAAGAACAAAUGUGUAAGUAACUAUGCACGUCUUGACGGUACCUAAUCAGAAAGCCACGGCUAACUACGUG
rnacentral:rRNA from 1 species